AAAUUUACAAAUUAGUCUGCUUAUCUGAAUGUGUUGCAGAAAUGUAGAGAAAGUUGGCAAUAAAAAUGCCAUGUUAUGAGCCUUAAAGACAGUUAGGUUGUUAAGAUCCCUGAAAAUUGCUACAAUA
ensembl:snoRNA